GCCACAUUUGACUGUGUCACUUCUCUCUUU
rnacentral:piRNA from 1 species